rnacentral:rRNA from 1 species
CAUUACAGAGAACAUCGCCCUCACGGGUGACUCUCCAACCCUAUGUUAUUAUACCUUUGUUGCUUUGGCGAGCCGCUUCGGCCACCGACUCCGGUUGGUGCGUGCUCGCCAGAGGACCACAAACUCUUGUUUAUUAGUGUCGUCUGAGUACUAUAUAAUAGUUAAAACUUUCAACAACGGAUCUCUUGGUUCUGGCAUCGAUGAAGAACGCAGCGAAAUGCGAUAAGUAGUGUGAAUUGCAGAAUUCAGUGAAUCAUCGAAUCUUUGAACGCACAUUGCGCCCUUUGGUAUUCCGGGGGGCAUGCCUGUUCGAGCGUCAUUACAACCCUCAAGCUCUGCUUGGUAUUAAGCUUCACCUGAAAAGGCGGGCUCUAAAAUCAGUGGCGGUGCCAUUCGGCUUCAAGCGUAGUAAUUUUUCUCGCUUUGGAUGACCGGUUGCGUGCCUGCCAUAACCCAAAAUUUUAUCAAAGGUUGACCUCGGAUCAGGUAGGGAUACCC